rnacentral:rRNA from 1 species
AGAGUUUGAUCCUGGCUCAGGACGAACGCUGGCGGCGUGCCUAACACAUGCAAGUCGAACGGAGUUGAAAGGAGCUUGCUUUUUUCAACUCAGUGGCGGACGGGUGAGUAACGCGUGAGUAACCUGCCUUUCAGAGGGGGAUAACGUUCUGAAAAGAACGCUAAUACCGCAUAAGAUUGUAGUUUCGCAUGGAGCAGCAAUCAAAGGAGCAAUCCGCUGAAAGAUGGACUCGCGUCCGAUUAGAUAGUUGGCGGGGUAACGGCCCACCAAGUCGACGAUCGGUAGCCGGACUGAGAGGUUGAUCGGCCACAUUGGGACUGAGACACGGCCCAGACUCCUACGGGAGGCAGCAGUGAGGGAUAUUGGGCAAUGGGGGAAACCCUGACCCAGCAACGCCGCGUGAGGGAUGACGGUUUUCGGAUUGUAAACCUCUGUCCUCUGUGAAGAUAGUGACGGUAGCAGAGGAGGAAGCUCCGGCUAACUACGUGCCAGCAGCCGCGGUAAUACGUAGGGAGCAAGCGUUGUCCGGAUUUACUGGGUGUAAAGGGUGCGUAGGCGGAUUGGCAAGUCAGAAGUGAAAUCCAUGGGCUUAACCCAUGAACUGCUUUUGAAACUGUUAGUCUUGAGUGAAGUAGAGGUAGGCGGAAUUCCCGGUGUAGCGGUGAAAUGCGUAGAGAUCGGGAGGAACACCAGUGGCGAAGGCGGCCUACUGGGCUUUAACUGACGCUGAGGCACGAAAGUGUGGGUAGCAAACAGGAUUAGAUACCCUGGUAGUCCACACGGUAAACGAU